rnacentral:rRNA from 1 species
CACGUAGGGCGCAAGCGUUGUCCGGAAUUAUUGGGCGUAAAGAGCUCGUAGGCGGUCUGUUACGUCUGCUGUGAAAACCCGGGGCUUAACCCUGGGCUUGCAGUGGAUACGGGCAGACUAGAGGCAGGUAGGGGAGAAUGGAAUUCCCGGUGUAGCGGUGAAAUGCGCAGAUAUCGGGAGGAACACCGGUGGCGAAGGCGGUUCUCUGGGCCUGACCUGACGCUGAGAAGCGAAAGCAUGGGGAGCGAAC